UUUUUCUUAUUUUCAGAUUCAUUGGAAAAUCAGGUCUUCACAGUAUGUUGCCACUGUGGGGCUAUAGAAAUCCUCCGUUUGUGUGCAACGCUGCAGCUGAAAUCUGCACAGUUGGAAGGUGUCUGUUACGGAGUAUUGCUGCUACAUUGAUCUGAGUGAGGGAAGCAUAUAGGCUUAUUAUGCAUACUGUUCGGACCAAAAUGGAGGACCGCAGGAACUCUGUGGAGAAUGAGAAAAGCUGUGCUAUGGACUUUGGUCUACUGGUCAUGGUGUUCUCAGAAGUAGGAGACCUUGGGGCAGUGGCAGCGGAGAGGAAGUCCACUUAGUGCUCCUUUUGGAGGAAUUCUGUCUCCAAGUAAA